AUACUCUGGUUUCUCUUCAAAUCAUAUAAAUCUUUCACCUUUUACUAAAGAUUUCCAUGGAGGGGAACAAUACUGAAUCUUAAUCCAAUUUUUUGAAGCCCAGCUUUUGCAGAGCU
ensembl:snRNA U5 U5 spliceosomal RNA